GUGGUUGUGGCUCAGAGGUAGAGUGCUCGCCUAGCACAUGCAAGGCCCUGGGUUCAAUCCUCAGCACCACA
rnacentral:tRNA from 1 species